GAAGUUGUGCUGUACCUGAGAGCACCGAGAGAUAACAUAAGAAGCCAUCUUGGAAUUAAAGUUGUUGAAUGGAAAUGUGGCUCCAGCCUGGCUGUGUAUCACAUCCUUCUGGUUAGGAGCAUUGCUGCAGGAAUCUGUUUAUUCUCAAUUCAAGCCAAUAUGUACUGAUUGCUCUGACCUCCUCUGGUAAACAGGCAUUCUACUGGAACGUGUAAGAUAAUUUUUGCCAUCUGUCAUUUUCUUCUUCUUGAGAAAGGAGAAUUACUGAGAAACAAGAAAAUGAAAGAAGAUCAAAUUUGCAGAUGAAUAAUCAUGACCCAAGUGGAACUGAGGAAAGUGUGCUGAAACCUGUUGGAGAACCCAUACAAAGAAGUUGGGAUGUGGAAAAGGAAGGCAGCCAGAAUCUGG
rnacentral:antisense_RNA from 1 species